rnacentral:rRNA from 1 species
AUUGAACGCUGGCGGCAGGCCUAACACAUGCAAGUCGAGCGGAGCGGCGGACGGGUGAGUAAUGCCUAGGGAUCUGCCUGGUCGUGGGGGAUAACGUCCGGAAACUGGCACUAAUACCGCAUACUAUCAGAUGAGCCUAGGUCGGAUUGGCUAGUUGGUUGGGUAAAGGCCUAACAAGGCGACGGUCCGUAACUGGUCUGAGAGGAUGAUCAGUCACACUGGGACUGAGACACGGUCCAGACUCCUACGGGAGGCAGCAGUGGGGAAGAUUGGACAAUGGGCGAAAGCCUGAUCGAGCCAUGCCGCGUGAGUGAAGAAGGUCUUCGGAUUGUAAAGCACUUUAAGUUGGGAAGCGGUAAUAACAGAAUAAGCACCGGCUAACUUCGUGCCAGCAGCCGCGGUAAUAC